rnacentral:tRNA from 1 species
GGCUGUGGCUCAGUGGUAGAGCGUUUGCUUGGUCCCUGGUUCAAUCCCGGCAUCGCCA